rnacentral:rRNA from 1 species
GAGUAAAGAUUUCGGUCGCUUUGGGAGGAGCUCGCUUACUAUCAGCUUGUUGGUAGGGUAAUGGCCUACCAAGGCUAUGACGGUUAGGGGGUGUGAGAGCAUGACCCCCAGCAUUGGCACUGAAACACUGGCCAAACACCUACGGGUGGCUGCAGUCGAGAAUCUUCCACAAUGGGGGAAACCCUGAUGGAGCGAUGCUGCGUGCGGGAUGAAGGCCUUCGGGUUGUAAACCGCUUUUGUAGGGGACGAAAUUUUUGACGGUACCCUUUCGAAUAAGAGGUUGCUAACUCUGUGCCAGCAGCAGCGGUAAUACAGAGACCUCAAGCGUUAUCCGGAUUUACUGGGCGUAAAGCGUCUGUAGGGGGUUUAUCAAGUUCCAAGUAAAAUUUCAAGGCUCAACUUUGAAUUCGCUUGGAAAACUAAUAAACUGGAGUCUAGCAGAGGUGCAUGGAACUUGUGGUGUAGGAGUGAAAUCCGUUGAUAUCACAAGGAACACCAAAGGCGAAGGCAUUGCACUGGGCUAGCACUGACCCUGAGAGACGAAAGCGUGGGGAGCAAAACGGAUUAGAUACCCGUGUAGUCCACGCCCUAAACGAUGAAUGCUAAAUGUUCGGGGAUUCGACCCCCUGGGUGUUACAGCUAACGCGUUAAGCAUUCCGCCUGGGAAGUACGGCCGCAAGGCUAAAACUCAAAGGAAUAGACGGGGAUCCGCACAAGCGGUGGAGCGUCUGGUUUAAUUCGACAGUAAGCGUGGUACCUCACCAGGGUUUGACAUCCCUUGACAGCCUUGGAAACAAGGUUUCCUUCGGGCAAGGUGACAGGUGCUGCAUGGUCGUCGUCAGUUCGUGCCGUGGGGUGUUCCGUUAAGUCGGGAAACGAACGAAACCCCUAUUGCAUGUUACAAUUUCUCAUGCAAGACUGCCCGGAUAUACUGGGAGGAAGGUGGGGAUGACGUCAGAUCUGCAUGGUCCUUAUACCCUGGGCGACACAGGCGCUACAAUGGCAGAGACAAAGGGUUGCAAAACCGCAAGGUGAAGCUAAUCCCAAAAACUUUGUCUAAGUUCGGAUUGAAGGCUGCAAUUCGCCUUCAUGAAGCUGGAAUCGCUAGUAAUCGUGAAUCAGCCACGUCACGGUGAAUAUGUUCCCGGAUCUUGUACUCACCGCCCGUCACACCAAGAGAGUUGGUAGCUCCCGAAG